GGUCACCCUCAGGAACUGAAACCAGCAAUAGCAGCAGCUGAGUGGGGAGGAACUAGCCUAAAGAGCGACCUGCUGGACCCACCCUUGAAAUGAGAAAACAGAGGCAAACACCUUCAAGCUCUGAAGCUGACAAAACAUUCAGCCAAAAUUUGUCCACAGUCAGACAGCCAGGAAACUAUAACAAAUAAUCAUGAUAUCCAAGCCAAACAAAUCCAAAAGAACCACCAGGAAUCCCAAAUGUGCAAAUGGGCCAACGGUCUUCUGCAGAACGUGUCCAUAUGGGAGGGAGAAAACAACAGAAGUGGUUACAGGACUUUCCUAUGAAUGGGAGCUGCC